AGGCUGUGACUUUUGCAAUAUG
rnacentral:miRNA from 9 species